ensembl:lncRNA
GCUCUGCCUUCCUGUGUCAGCCCAGCUCAUCAGUAUGGACAACGCCGAAAGGCUCCGCGAGGCCGGCGGCAUCAGGCCUCCAACCUCCCCCGCCGAAGGGCUCCCUCGCCUCUUGGGGAGCUCCGCGGCGGCUAGUGCCGGUUAUGUAUUUCUGAUGCCGCCGUCUGCGUUUGCACGCCGAAGGGCCAGCUACCCACCUUACACCCGGGGUUUAUUGCUUAGCAGAGCAAGGAAACAGAUGGGAAUCAACAUGUUCUAGUAAAGCACAGCAAAAGACACACACACAGGGGAGGACGCCAUGUGACAAUGGAGUCAGAGAUUGGAGUGAUGUAUUGACAAGUUCAGGAAUGUCAAGGAUUGCCAACAACACCAGAGGCUGAAAGAAAGGCAUAGAACACAGUCUCCCUAGAUCCUCCAGAGAGAGCAUGGUCCUGCUGAUAUCCUGACUGAAUACUUCCGGCCUCCAGAACUAGUUUGAGCUUUCCAGACCCGCAAGUUUGGACUGCAUGAUGCAGAAGUUCUGGUCGACAAAGGUAGAAUACAUUGACUCUGGGACACUGCAAAAAUUUCAAUGAACUUAAGUUAUACCUUCUUCCAGUGUACUUCAGGGGACUUUUCCCAAAUGACUUGAAGAGAAGUCACUAUCCUGAUAGGAUGAUUGAUCUGAACUUCAGAGAAAGGUGAAUUGAAAAUGGAAUUCUAAAUAAAAAUGAUGUAACAAGAUAAGAAGAUGUUAGAUCUCCAAUUCUGUGGAGCAUCUUUUCAGCCAUGGUUCAUGUAUCUGAACUUUUACACAAAUGUAGAGUUGCAAGAGGAUGUCUCUUCAGUCCUAACCACGAGAACCUUAAAGUCAUAGUUUCUUAAGCUCAUUACCGUGGCAGCAAGCAAAGAAACCUACUAAAUUAUAACCCACACAGUGAUUUGCUUAGAACAGAAGUAAUCCACAAAUGCUUUAAUCUGUGGCCAAACAGCUGGAUAAUGAAGAAGCCACCAAAGCUAUGACCAAGAAGAAAACAGUUAUACGUUCAAUGAGUUGUUAAAGCCUAAUAACAGACUGGUAUGACAGAAUCCCUAGGAGUCACAGAUGAAAAAUAUCUGCAACUAUCUGCCAACUCUUUCCCACAAGCCUUAUUGAGCUCUCAUGAGAAAGAUCGUGGGCAGCACAGGAGAGCUGAGACAGAUUCCAUGGGAGGUUCAGGUGUGUGGGGGCUGCUGAAGUCUGAGGAGAAGAAGUAGGACUGAGAGAAACCUCUGGACACUUCAGGUACUCAUCAAGUGGUAAUGUGAUGAGCCUGCUAAAAUGUGAGGGCAGAGCAGUAAUACUGCAAGAAAGUCCUUAGGCCACGGUGCCUUAUACUUAAUAGGGAAAAGCACCUCUCUGUGCCUAGAGAACAGGUGAGAAUGACCUCUAAAGGUGCAAAUGUACGGAGAUUACUGAGGUCUGAGGACCAGGAGAGAAAAAAAAAAAAAAAA